AUCUGUCCAUGACAAGGGAGUGGUCUCAAAUUCCCCCACCUCCAGAUCAUUUAUUUCCCAGUCGGCAAAAACCAGAUCCAGAGUGUGUCCCGCCACGUGGGUAGGGCCCGAUACCAAUUGAGACAGGCCCAUGGUUGCCAUGGAGGCCAUGAAAUCCUGAGCCGCACCCACUAGGGGGGCCUCAGCGUGGACAUUGAAAUCCCCCAAAACAAUAAGCCUGGAGGAACCCAAGGCCACCUCCGAGACCACCCCCGCCAGCUCAGGUAGGGAGACUGAAGUGCAGCGGGGUGGUCGGUACACCAGCAGAAUCCCCAGCCUAUCUCGGAGGCCCACCCUCAAGGACAAACACUCAAAAUUCUGAGAUUGCCUGACCGGGCACCUGGAAACAGGGAGGGUCUCUCGAAAGAUGACUGCAACGCCUCCUCCCCGACCCUCGAGGCGGGGCUGCUGCACGAUCUGGAAACCUGGAGGACAAAGCUGAGAGAGACCGACCCCGCCCAGCGGAUCCAACCAGGUCUCCGUCACACAUACCAGGUCAGCACGCUCAUCCACAAUCAGAUCGUGGAUGAGAGAUGUUUUUGCGUUAACUGACCUGGCAUUCAGCAGCAGCACCCUAAUCCUCGAAGGAGUGUUCCCAGAGCUCCCUAGGGUCAGAGGGUUGGGAGAAGGGCCAGAAAAAGGAACAGGCCUCAAUUGCCUGGACCGUUUUCCCCUGUAACGGCCUGCCCAACUCCCACCGCCAUACCUCCCUCUGCCCGCUACCUGUGAUAUUGCCGCCCCCGCUCCAGACCCACUUUUUUGCUCCCCCAGACACAUCUCCCCAGACUAACCCACCACGGCUUCUUGGCUUAAUUAAAAAACAAAACAAAAACAAAAACAAAACUUCAACUGACUUGGAUGUAUGUCUUUCUGCAUUAACUUGAAUUCUUUUCCAAGCUAUUCCAACCAGAGAUGCACAUUCCUAGUUGUCAGCAUCGCCAGAGGUUUCCAGAGGCCUCUCCUUUUUAAAGGUAGCUUGCUUGUUAAAAUCGCUAUGGAUCUCUUCUCUGUGGGAUGCUGAUGGAGAUGCUUCUCCCCAAAUAAAACCAUAAACCAUGCAUUCGCUUCACAGUGGGUGGGAGGUUGCAGGACAGAUAGGUCCCAACCUGCAUGAGGUCUCACUUUUAUUGUUGCAGACUUCUGCUGCUUGGUCAGAAUUUUAGAUCUGGAAAACAGUGUUGGAGAGAAGGACAGUGCACUCCAUCCAUCGGAGCUCUUUUUACCUCAAAGGUAUUAUCCUUAUUAUUGUUAUUGCUGUUGUUGUUGUUACUGCAACUUUUAAGAGUGACGCAUGCAUGCCAUAUCUCUGUUUCUCUGUCCUGAUCCGAUCAAUCAAUUCUGUUCAGUGAUUCUUUUCUAUUUAGCGGAUUGGGGGGAGCAACUGUCCCCCUCCCGGGGUUGUUGCUGGGGUCUACCAUCUUCCUUUUUAGAUUGCGAGCCCUUUGGGAGCCGUCUUUCAUAUUUUAUCUACAUAAACUGCUUGGAGAACCUGUGCUGAAGAUUUGUCCUAAUAGCAAGUAUGGCAGUGAAUGACUGCAAAUAUCAGGUCGGAUUAGGAACUCCAGAUGCCAGUCCGGGCUCUUGCAGUCCCUUCAAAAGUAACCUGGAAAUUGUACUCUCAGAGUGAAUGCAGAAGAAAAGUGAUGUAACAUCAGAGAAUCGCUGGGGAAGUGAUGUGAAACUGAGGUAAUCUUCUGCCUUCUUUUUCAAAUGGUAAGUGAAAUAAAAGGCAAAAAGUAAGAAAUAUCUUACAUAAAAGAUGCAUGGGUGAGCAGGCAUUUGGGCAAAUGGAACCAUCCCCCCCGCAGCCCCCCAGCCCCAAUCAGUGACAAAAUGUGGAGCCCCACCACCACAUGGAGCUCUAAAAUGGGUCGGGAAUUCCCGGAUGGUGUUGGGGAACUCUGACUCAAUGUAGGCUUCCCAACGUCGGGGUUGGCUGAUCCCCGACACCCUCCAACGUGGCCCAUCUCAGGCCAUGUCCAACACAACUGAUGCAGACUUGAACAGCCGUAUAUUAAGCACCUUCUCUCUUUUUGUUCCGAUUCUGCCCCCAAACUGAGCUGAACAGACCCAAGCCCAGAGAUGGAAGGGGAGCUGAAAAGGCUGGAGAACAGCAGAGACGCUCUCAAGGCUGGCUUCUACGAAUCCUUCGGUGGACUGCAUCCUCCCCAUGACUCUGAUGACAGUAGCAAUGGGCCGAGAGAGAACCUACAUUACGUGUUCAGGACUACAGAAAUCCCCCUCCCCUUGGCCUCGUGCAAAGGGGAGGGAGUUUGUCUCAGCCCCGCUCUGCACGAGGCCCAAGAAGCGGGCCGAUUGGCCCUUUGGGUCAGGGGGCGGGGUUUUGCCGGGAUGAUCCCCGCCCCGUGCUCCUCAGUUUGGGACAGGCAUUCCCCUCCCUCCCUCCCUGGUAUAGAGCGGGUCUAGCGACUGGUCGCCCAACGGGGCCGAGUAGGAAUUUUUGGCUCCCAACGCAUUGGCCACUGUUGGGGUUUUUUUUCGCCUACUCCGUUCUGUGUUCCAGGUGUAUAGUUAGAGUUAGGCCGGUCACAAUGGCAGUAACAGUGCGGGCGGGGUGGUAAUUCGAGGAUUAGAACAUCGGUGAGCACCCUUGGAUAUUUAAACGGGUGACUGGUCAAUCGCUCCUUUGUGGCCUGUGCGGCACGGGGAGAAUGGAUUGCCAUGAAACCUGCUUCAGGACUUCACCAACCUUUGGGCUGAGCGGUCCGGGGUGGGCGAAGACCUUGAAGUAUCCAGAUCCUCUCUUACGAAAGGGGGGGUUUGGCUUUGAAGGAAUUGGGCGGGGCGUACCUGCCCGUUUCCCGAGCCAGGGUGUGUCGCCCAGUAAGGUGCUGGGUAGGACGUCAGAGUUCUAACCCGGUCCUCUUGGCCCGCACUGUUCUCUAAGGGUGAUUAAUCACCUGGUGUUCCAGUUCGUCAUGUCUUUUGUUACAGUUAAUAAAGUUGUGGCCCUUUUACCCAUA